UACGGGGGGAGCAAGCGUUGUUCGGAUUUACUGGGCGUAAAGGGCGCGUAGGCGGCCACCGCAAGUCGACUGUGAAAUCUCCGGGCUUAACCCGGAAAGGUCAGCCGAUACUGCGGGCUAGAGUGCAGAAGGGGCAACUGGAAUUCUCGGUGUAGCGGUGAAAUGCGUAGAUAUCGAGAGGAACACCUGCGGCGAAGGCGGGUUGCUGGGCUGACACUGACGCUGAGGCGCGAAGCUAGGGGAGCGAACGGG
rnacentral:rRNA from 1 species